GGUUGCAUGAAACUUCUUAAGUAAGGGUUUCCCUGAGGGAGAAAAAAUCCCUGAGGUAAGGGAUUUCACUAAGAGCGUUGCAAGAAACCUCUUAACUGUCACCCUUACCUAAGUGUUUAUACUAAGCGUUUCACAGUACUUUCUGACAACAUACGGCAAAGACCGCCGCGGUUGCUAUCGUUACCGCCUCUAACAGUAAACAGAACAUAACGAACCACAAAGCCAAACCCUUGCUAAAAUUACACUUUUAUUAAUAUAAUUGUGCUAUGGAGAGUACAAACGUAACAGAAAACAAAAAACGUAAACCAAACUGGACAGAGGACGAAAAAGCAAUUCUUUUAGAAGAAUUCACAAAAAGAAAAAACAUUCUCCAAAGCCGCUAUAACCCAUCAGUCACUCAUUCACACAAAUCGAAAGCCUGGCAGGAGAUAACAGAAAAAAUAAAUUCAAGAAAUCUUGCUGUCAAGCGAACAGUAGAAGAAGUUAUGAAAAAGUAUGAAAACAUAGUGGUGAGUUCAAGAAAAGAAAUUGCAAACAAUAAAAAAGAAUCUGGAAAGACCGGUAAGUAACGUUCAUGCUCCUGCCUGAUAAAUUGUAUCAAAAAGGUAUCGCGCUUGGUAUGGAACAAUGUUACACCUGUUUUGUUAUGUAAAGGAGGAGGGCCGCCGCCACAAGACCUAUCCGACACAGCGAAAUUGGUACAAGAUAUAUUAGGGAAGGAUUCUCCUACUCUAGUCGGUAUUCCAGGCGUUCCUCAAAGCAGUUCGGGAAGCAGCAUACCUACUCAUAACUGGGAAGAUGUUCGUGUGACAAGCCCGACUCCCAGCAAUACAGCGUCAAGACGUUCGUUUGAGGAAAGAGGAUUAGAAACCACCAAGGCUACAUCAGGGUUGGCUGAACUUCAACGAGAAGUUCUUUUGCUGCAGAAGAGAAAAGCAGAGUUGGAGAUUUCUAAAAUAGAAAUGGAAAAGGAAAACUUGAAUAUGCAGAAUAUAGUUCUGCAAUACAAAAUUAACAAACUUGCUCGAGAUGGAUUAAUAACUUUAGAACCAGUAGGGGAAGAG